rnacentral:pre_miRNA from 1 species
AGGAGACACAGUCCUUGCAGGCAGUUCCAGCACGUCUGUGGGUCUGUUUGUCCGUC